GUUAUUUCUAGAGGUUCCUCAAACACUUCAUUGGGGAAUGUAUACACACUUAUGUAUAUGUAUAAUCAAUUUUACCUACUGAAGUGUUUGGGGGAACUCCUGGGGUUAC
rnacentral:pre_miRNA from 1 species